UACAGAGGGUGCAAACGUUGUUCGGAAUUACUGGGCGUAAAGCGCGUGUAGGCGGCUCUGCAAGUCAGGUGUGAAAUCCCACGGCUCAACCAUGGAAGUGCACUUGAAACUGCAGGGCUAGAGUCCUGGAGAGGAAGGUGGAAUGCUUGGUGUAGAGGUGAAAUUCGUAGAUAUCAGGUGGAAUACCGGUGGCGAAGGCGGCCAAUUGGCCCAACACUGACGCUGAGAUACGAAAGCGUGGGGAUCAAACAGG
rnacentral:rRNA from 1 species